rnacentral:rRNA from 1 species
CCUACGGGAUGCAGCAGUGGGGAAUAUUGCACAAUGGGCGCAUGCCUGAUGCAGCCAUGCCGCGUGUGUGAAGAAGGCCUUCGGGUUGUAAAGCGCUUUCAGCGGGGAGGAAGGCGUUAAGGUUAAUAACCUCAUCGAUUGACGUUACCCGCAGAAGAAGCACCGGCUAACUCCGUGCCAGCAGCCGCGGUAAUACGGAGGGUGCAAGCGUUAAUCGGAAUUACUGGGCGUAAAGCGCACGCAGGCGGUCUGUCAAGUCGGAUGUGAAAUCCCCGGGCUCAACCUGGGAACUGCAUUCGAACCUGGCAGGCUAGAGUCUUGUAGAGGGGGGUAGAAUUCCAGGUGUAGCGGUGAAAUGCGUAGAGAUCUGGAGGAAUACCGGUGGCGAAGGCGGCCCCCUGGACAAAGACUGACGCUCAGGUGCGAAAGCGUGGGGAGCAAACAGGAUUAGAUACCCUCGUAGUC